rnacentral:rRNA from 1 species
AUGGAGAGUUUUCUGGAUCUGGGAGUUGUCCCUUUGUGGCUUGGGAGAGAGAAGAAGAUGGGGCUGGGCGAUUUGAUGGGGAGAAAAGGAGACGCCCAGGGGGGUGGAGGAGGGAAACACGUGGGGGAGAGAGGAUCAGGUGAGUUCCGCGGCUCGAUGGUUGGGUGGAAGGAAUCGGGAGCGGGGGCCAGGUACUUUCCUAUUCUGGAUAGGAGGGACAGAAAAUUACUAUUUUGGGAGGGCUGCCAGGGAACGCUAGGGAGCAGCCUCCCUAGACGCGUCCAUAUAUGUAUGUACAUAUGUGUCCAAUUCUGCACAAAUGAAGAAAAGCAAUACAACAGAAAAUAUCUCAAGAUGGCAAUGAUAGCUUACUGA